rnacentral:rRNA from 1 species
UAUAGAGAAGUUCUACUAUGUUUCCGUAGGUGAACCUGCGGAAGGAUCAUUGUACACACAAUAAAGCAAACCAGUGAACUGUGUCGUCCCUCGAGGGAUCGCACCCGGAGGUGCGAUCGCCGACGGCUUGCUGGCCCCCCCUCGGGGGGGCCUUCACAGGUGCCGAGUGGUUUAUGGCACGUCGUCGGCCGGGGCUCUCCUCGGUACUCCUCGAUUCUCGAGGGGCCAUCCCCGUUGGAAGGGAUGGCGUCUCAAGGCUCGGGGCGGGAGUCCCCCUCCCCCGCUUGCCCCAACGUCCCCUUCGGGCGGGCGUUUGGGGCACCCGGGGCCGCGUUUUCCACAACAACGAUGAGCAACUACACAUUGUGAGACUGAGCUUCUGGCCCCCCAGCGGGGCCAAAAUCGAGAAUCGAAAAACGACUCUCAGCAACGGAUAUCUUGGCUCUUGCAACGAUGAAGAACGCAGCGAAAUGCGAUACCUAGUGUGAAUUGCAGAAUUCCGCGAAUCAUCGAGUCUUUGAACGCAAGUUGCGCCCGAGGCUUGUCCCGAGGGCAUGCCUGCCUGAGCGUCACCGCAAUCCCACCGGGGUCUACUCCCCGAGUGAAACUGGCCGUCCGUGGUCCGGCGUCGAAGCCUGUGGCCGCGGUCGGCUGAAAUGGAGCGUUCUGGACGUAGCCGAAACCGGGAGGCCGCGAGAAGGUGAUUCGCCCAGCAUACCGGGCGGAGUCUAUUUGACAGCGCCUCCCGUUUCGGAGUUCCACUGAACCGGUCGCAGGACUCACACGACAGUGAGGUGUCCCAGCUUGGACCUCAGAUCAGGCAAGAUUACCCGCUGAGUAUAAGCAUAUCAUAAGCCCGAGAGAC